AUAUCGUUGUUGCUGCGGUACUGUCAGCCAACUGAAACUUCGAGGGGGCGUGUGAACCCUCUCACUCGGGCUAACUACCUUGCCUCGCCGCCUCUGGUUGUUGCCUAUGCUCUUGCCGGUACUGUUGACAUUGACUUUGAGAAAGAGCCCAUUGGAGUUGGAAAGGGUGCGAAGGAAGUUUUCUUGAGGGACAUAUGGCCUUCAAACCAAGAGAUUGAUGAGGUUGUGGAGUCCAGCGUGCAGACUCACUUGUUAAUUCAAGAAAGUGUACGACUCCAUCAUGGAACUCAAAUUUUGGUGGUUGCACUAGUGUGGAGACUUGAAUUCAUGUAUACAGUUAGUUAGCCUCAACGUUAGCGCAAACAGUUGAUGACCAAGUUUUUUAAUUAGUAUUUUAGUUUGGAUGUAUAGUACACUUAUGUAUGAGUUAUUUGACAAUGCUUAUUUAUGAGAUAUUGAAUGACACUUGUCUAUGUUA